ACGAACGCUGGCGGCAUGCCUAACACAUGCAAGUCGAACGAGACCUUCGGGUCUAGUGGCGCACGGGUGCGUAACGCGUGGGAACCUGCCCUUAGGUUCGGAAUAACGCCCCGAAAGGGGUGCUAAUACCGGAUAAUGUCUUCGGACCAAAGAUUUAUCGCCUUUGGAUGGGCCCGCGUUGGAUUAGCUAGUUGGUAGGGUAAAAGCCUACCAAGGCGGCGAUCCAUAGCUGGUCUGAGAGGAUGAUCAGCCACACUGGGACUGAGACACGGCCCAGACUCCUACGGGAGGCAGCAGUGGGGAAUAUUGGACAAUGGGCGAAAGCCUGAUCCAGCAAUGCCGCGUGAGUGAUGAAGGCCUUAGGGUUGUAAAGCUCUUUUACCCGGGAUGAUAAUGACAGUACCGGGAGAAUAAGCUCCGGCUAACUCCGUG
rnacentral:rRNA from 1 species